rnacentral:rRNA from 1 species
UACGAAGGGUGCAAGCGUUACUCGGAAUUACUGGGCGUAAAGCGUGCGCAGGCGGUUUUGUAAGUCUGUCGUGAAAGCCCCGGGCUCAACCUGGGAAUUGCGAUGGAGACUGCAAGGCUUGAAUCUGGCAGAGGGGGGUAGAAUUCCACGUGUAGCAGUGAAAUGCGUAGAGAUGUGGAGGAACACCGAUGGCGUAGGCAGCCCCCUGGGUCAAGAUUGACGCUCAUGCACGAAAGCGUGGGGAGCAAACAGG